ACCACCAACCCAGCCACUCCUUUUUCUUGCGUUAGUCACCAUAUCCUCUUGAAUCAGCCAUGUCCUUGAUGCUGUCCUACACCAUUCUUGCAGAGGUGUCCUAUGAUGAAAUCUGGACUUCAAACUGCUGAGGUAAUGUUAAUGGCCACAAUAAAAAAAAAAAAGAGACCUUUUCUAUUAAAGAAUUUAAGGAGAUUGCAUUAUGCAGAAAGGAAAAUUAAGACUAUGAAGAGAGAAUAUGUGAAAGCGACGAAUAGUGUCCUAGUGUUGAACAUGAGAUUCGCCUUUUUGGCUGCUUUCAGUAGGAUGUUGAUGAAGCUUUUGUUAGUGAGGAUGGGUUUCCCGAGGAAAUAUAUGCAUACCAUUUGAGCAUAUAAAGAAAGAUGAUAUUUUCAAGGUUACUCCACAUAAGACAUCUCACGUUCAUUAACUUUAGCAGCAUCCACAAGAUCCGUUGUUCGAAUCGACAAUACAGAAGAAUCUAAGGAAGUACGAAAGGGUGAAUGGAAAGUACGCAUGCAUGCAUAUAAGACUCCAUAUUCAACCCGAUUGUUGGUUCCGAAUGUGUGAUGUCAUAUUAAGUUGUGAAGCAACUUAAGCUAAUGUAACACAAAUACAAUUAAUUCAAUCAUCAAAAUAAUUUUAAUAUACAAA